GGACAACCUACCCUUAGGACCGGGAUAACCCCGGGAAACUGGGGACAAUCCCGGAUAGGUGAAGUGGCCUGGAAUGGUACUUCACUGAAAGGCUCUUCGGAGCGCCUAAGGAUGGGUCUGCGGCCGAUUAGGUAGUUGGUAGGGUAACGGCCUACCAAGCCGAUAAUCGGUACGGGUUAUGAGAGCAAGAGCCCGGAGAUGGAACCUGAGACAGGGUUCCAGGCCCUACGGGGCGCAGCAGGCGCGAAACCUCCGCAAUGCACGCAAGUGCGACGGGGGGACCCCAAGUGCCACUCUUAACGGGGUGGCUUUUCAGGAGUGUAAAAAGCUCCUGGAAUAAGGGCUGGGCAAGACCGGUGCCAGCCGCCGCGGUAACACCGGCAGCUCGAGUGGUAGCCGCGUUUGUUGGGCCUAAAGCGUCCGUAGCCGGUCCGAUAAGUCUCUGGUGAAAGCCCACAGCUCAACUGUGGGAAUCGCUGGAGAUACUAUCGGACUUGAGGCCGGGAGAGGCUGGAGGUACUCCCAGGGUAGGGGUGAAAUCCUAUAAUCCUGGGAGGACCACCUGUGGCGAAGGCGUCCGGCUGGAACGGACCUGACGGUGAGGGACGAAAGCCAGGGGCGCGAACCGGAUUAGAUACCCGGGUAGUCCUGGCCGUAAACGAUGCGGACUUGGUGUUGGGAUGGCUUUGAGCUGUCCCAGUGCCGAAGGGAAGCUGUU
rnacentral:rRNA from 1 species